rnacentral:misc_RNA from 1 species
AGUAUGAAUUAUAAAAAUAUUAAUUCAACACCGAAGAUUUCUUAUUCUACAAAUAUUGAUACUAUUAUCCACUCACGUCGACGCACUGCAGAAUGUUGGCUAGCUCGGCACUUCCAUAGUUUGCUGUGUUCAUAGUUUAAAAAGUUAUUCUGUCUUUGGGCUUCAUAGUUUCUGAUAAAUGUGAUUAUAUUAGUUGAAAUAUUAUUGAUUUGAUAAAAGUAAUAUGUAUUUGGAAUUGUAUGACAGCAAAAGACCCCGAUGGCUGAUAACAGGGCAAGUUCCUUCGGCUGAACUUUGGGCCGAACAUUUUAACCGACCUGUCAAAUCAAGAAACCCGCUGUAUACAAGAUACUUUGAUCACCACCUGGCUGUGUGCAAAAUCAAAUAUGGGUUUUUGAACCCAGAUCAAAUCUAUGGCAUAGCAUUAGGAAAAUUGAACUUUCCUAGUUGUGGCUUCAAGAUAGACAAGUCCAGUCAUAGAGAACUAGUUCGCUAAUGGAGUGACUUUCCUCAAGAAACACAAGACUUACAGGCGCAAUGUGACUGCCAGAAGCUGCAAUCUUUUUGAAGACAAUGACGCAUCAUCAAUUAUUGAACGUGAUUCCUUCCAACAUGAAGAUAUCAUUGAAGUUCCAUCAAGCCCACUGAAGAACAUAAAUGAAGAUGAUGUAUACAAUGAUUUAACCGAAAUGUUUGAAGCGACGAAAAUACAACCCUUCAAAUCACUAUGCAGAAAAACGCGACCAUCUGACGUAACAAAUACAAGCCAUAGUAAAAGUAUCAAGAGUCCCAAGGACAAUCAACUCUUGAAUCAGUUUGAAAAAUUCAAAACUAUGUCAAACUUCAUCAGUGAGAAUUCGCAGCAAAAAGCAAGUGAAAAGAAUACUGUGGACAACAAAAGAGCAAAAGUGGACACUCGUUCAAUAAUUAACAAAAGCAUUUUGAAAAACAGUUCAUUUGAAGAAAACUUACCAAAAACAUCAUUUUUUGAAAAGUCUGUACAAUUCCAUGAGAACUUGGAAGAAGUACGUGAGUUUUAUGUUUUUGAAGAAGAUAAUGAUAGCUCAACUAUUGAGUUUAAUUCACCCAGUGAUACCAAUUUUAAUAUUUCCUCAGAGGAAAUUCCAAUAGAAGAAAACAUGAGUCAAGAGAUGCAAAUGAGUAAAGAUCAUGAUUUCAAAAAUGUGUGUCUAUCUGAUGAAACAGAGAGAAUGGAGCAAUCGUGCUAUGAAGAUUCUUUAUACAGUUUUGAUAAUGAAGCGAUCAAUGAAGAACUGGGAAAAACAAUAUCGCAUAAUUCGUCCAUAUUUUCUGAUGAAACACAAACUGCUUGUAGAGAAGUUAUCUUUGAAAGCUUGCUUCAAAAUAAGGAAGUUUUUAUAGAAAAGGAUGUUAAAAGCACUGAUGAACAUGAUCUGUCAAAUUCGUUGGAUGAAAGUUUUGAAAGAGAAGAAAAUGAAAUUGAAGUAUUCCAUGAAAUACAAAACGUGUGCUCAUCCGAUAGAACACUUGAGCCGAUUGAAGGAUCCUAUCUGAAUAAUAUUAGGAUUCAAUCUUACUUGUCAGAUGAGCAAUUAUCACAAGAAGCCCACAGGAUAAAUCAGUGCACUUACGAGAGACCAAUUUGCCAAGCAAAUGAAAUCAUCAAUGAAGAAAAUUCUGAAGACCUUCGAACACCUAUUGCAAUAGAAAGACAUGAAACUUGUGAGGAAAGACAAAAACAAUGUAAUGCCAAAAAUAUGGAAAAAGAAUCAUUGCGUUUUGACAGUAUGAAAAUUCCAUUUUUGCCUAGAGAUAAAGUCAAGGAUUUAGAUGUAAUUGAGACAGAAAAAAGUUUUUUGAGAGCACGGAAAUUCAAUUGCACGAUGAAACUGAAACCAUUGCUAAUGAAGAAGAGUUUUCAACUCAAGACUCAUCUAAUCAAGGCUUAGAAGAGUCUUAUAGCAAAGAAGGAGAGGCGGAAGGAAGUUGUAAUAGAAGUGAUUCAUCCAAUAAUGAAUCUUUAAACAAAAACUUGAAAGAAAAAAAGUUUUUCGAGAGCACGGAAAUUCAAUUGCACGAUGAAACUGAAACCAUUGGUAAUGAAGAAGAGUUUUCAACUCAAGAAUCAUCUAAUCAAGGCUUAGAAGAGUCUGAUAGCGAAGAGGGAGAGGCCGAAGGAAGUUGUAAUAGAAGAGAUUCAAAGAAUAGUAUAAAUUCCAAUCUUGAAGAAAUUGGAAUUUCCAUUGGCUCUGGAAUAAAAUUGGUUGAAAGUGUCAUAGUGAACAAAAAUUUAGCAUAUCUUCAAUCAAAAAAUAUUUCAUUCACAAAGAAUAAUUCAAGUGAAAAGAAAGCAAAUCAAUACAAUGUAAUGGAUUCAUUUGAUAACGAGUCUUUGAAAAGUAAUCAAGAUGAAAUCAUGUUUUCUUCUUCAUCAGAGAUUGAAAUAAAACUGCCUUGUUCUGGAGGAAAAUUGGUUGGAAGUGAUUCAUGUGGGGAGAGUAUUGUUUCCCAUUUUCAGUCCAUAAAUAUCCCUUUUGGAAAGGAAAAUAAGCCACAGAAGAAAUUCAAUGCAAAGCAACGCUCUCAUAUGCAAUCUGCCAACAUCAAGAUCAGAAAAAAUUUUGAUAGAGAAACGGAUAAAUUGGAGAAACUUUCGAGUCCAAUGUCACCCACGCCAAUUCAGCUUGGAAAUAGAUUUGAGCAUUUGUCUGAGGGGCACAUUUCAAGCCAAUUAUUCGAAAUGGAAAAUGAAACUCUGAAUGUUCAAUUUGAUCUUCACUCUGGCUCAGCCUCAGAUUCAAUUUUUGGUAAUUGCUUUAGCAACAUGAGCAAGUGCUUGAAUGACAAGAAUUUAGCAAGUAAUGUUAUUGAUGCUGGAAGUCCAGAGCAAGCGAGCACCAAUUAUGAUUUGACACUUGAUGACAUGUGGAAUAGUUUGGACGACGGUAGAGAAUUAACUCCAAUCGACAAGAGUUUGUCUUUUAAUAUCGCGUCUUUAGACGAUGAUUAUGAGAUGAUUAAAUCGGAUGACUCGCUGGCUGAAUUGAUGAAAAAGCCCAAGUCGAACUGUGCAGCAAACAAUGUAGUUGUUGGCAUCAAAAAACAUCGCCACUUCGAUGAUGAAGAGUCUCUGGCUUCUUCAUUAAAUUCAUCUUUCAAUCCCAAAAGAAGGAAACCGAAUACGGAUGGAGCUGUGGACAAAUGUGUGCUCUGUGUGACAACUAAAGAGAAUGUUUCAUCACAAACGACCAACGUAACAGAUGACACAGCGAAAUCAAUUGCCUCGAUAAAGAAACAGAUUUGGGACUGGCAGGAACAGAGCAACAGCUUCUUGAAGCCGAAUCGGACCAGUUGGAUGGGAACCAGCAAUCCAUUGGCCGCUGACCUCAUGCAGCUUCGAAUCCCCGAUCAAGAUGCCACCAUGGAUGAAGGAGGCCAGCAAAAUCUAAAUAUUUUACCGGACAUUGAAUUUUCAAGCAUGGAGUACUAAAUAUACAGUGAGCCAGCUCUUCAAUAAUGGUUUUAAUUAUUUUAUUAUUAUUAGUGUUCUUAGUUCCUAUUUCGUGUGUCAUAGUUCCUAUUUAUUGUUCAUUAUGAGUAAAAUCAAUAUGGUACUUCUUGAGAAAGAUGUUUAACACAAUUUUUGCCAUUGAUCAAAUGUAAUGUAAAUUAAUUAAUUCUUGUCACUCACUACUUGUGGAAAAUUCACAAUUACUUGACUAGAUCACUCUAUUGUAUUAAUUACAGUAUUGAAUGUGAUUCAACUUGAUACUAAAUACUUUCAUUAAUUAAAUGAUCAUUUAAUUUAAUGUUAAUUAACCAAAUGUAUUAAUUGUAUUAACUAUAUACAUUACUAUGAAACAAUUUUAUUUGGCGUUUAUGAUUUCUAUUUAAUGUUCAUAAUUCCUAUUUUUCUAAAAAAAAAUCAUCAAACUGCAUAUUAUUUAUGGAUAUUAAUUAUCCAAUUAAUUGAAAUUUCAUGUUUCUUCAAAUUGUCAAUAGUUUCUACUCAAUGUCUAGCUUAUCGUUAUCAAUAUUUUUCUAAGUAUAUUUAUUUUUCAGAGUUGAAUCUUAAAUUUUCUCAAUAUCAAAAGUACAGUGUUUAUCAAUACUUGUCACUUGUAACUUAUGUGAAUAUAGUAAUGUAAUUCCGUAUAACUGAUAACUGACUGUUCCUAACUUAUUCAACGUAGGCCUAUGUAACAUUUUAUUAAGAAAUUAUCCAUGUUUUCAACUAUUAGUUAUUUUUGUUCAUAAGUCUACUAAAUCCAUUUUUUAUUUUAUAAUAAAUAAUGAUUAAAUGUC